GCCCAUCUAGCUCAACGGGAUAGAGCAUCAGAGAUAUAGAUGGAUAGUACACAAUGUGAAAGACAGUUAAUGUCCUUCCCAUUGUGUGCUGUCUGAUUCUUCUGACUGAUGUGAGUUCGAGUCUCACGAUGGGCG